UUGUGGGAGGUAACUCUAAAGGGGGUUGAAGACCUUAGAGUAAGAAGAUUUCAUUUCCUCUUCGAGAGUAAGAUCUUCUUGUCCAUCUUUAUGCAAUAUUACACCGUCCAUUUGAUAUAAUUCUAGUUUCAUCAAUUUCUUUUAUUUAAUAUCUUGUUAACUUCUUUUCAAACAUAUUGGACCUAGAAAGCUGUUCAUCC
rnacentral:lncRNA from 1 species